rnacentral:rRNA from 1 species
GCCGCCGGGGGGCUUACGCCCCCGGGCCCGCGCCCGCCGAAGACACCCUCGAACUCUGUCUGAAGAUUGUAGUCUGAGUGAAAAUAUAAAUUAUUUAAAACUUUCAACAACGGAUCUCUUGGUUCCGGCAUCGAUGAAGAACGCAGCGAAAUGCGAUACGUAAUGUGAAUUGCAAAUUCAGUGAAUCAUCGAGUCUUUGAACGCACAUUGCGCCCCCUGGUAUUCCGGGGGGCAUGCCUGUCCGAGCGUCAUUUCUGCCCUCAAGCACGGCUUGUGUGUUGGGCCCCGUCCUCCGAUCCCGGGGGACGGGCCCGAAAGGCAGCGGCGGCACCGCGUCCGGUCCUCGAGCGUAUGGGGCUUUGUCACCCGCUCUGUAGGCCCGGCCGGCGCUUGCCGAUCAACCCAAAUUUUUAUCCAGGUUGACCUCGGAUCA